GUGCUAGCUCGCGCGAAGAUCUUUUUCUUAGCUGAUCUAGAUCCUUUCUUCAAAUCUCUAAAAUCUUUUUAGAGAUUGAAGAUGGACUUCUAGAGGAGAUAAAGAGGUGAAAGAAAGAUGAAGAAGAAAAUAAUUUUUUUCUAAUUUAUUUCCUCCUCCCAAACUCUUAGAACCAAAAAUCUAAAAUUCAGAUUUUUGCGCACACCCCAAGAGAGAGGAUUCUCCUCUCUAUUUUUCACAUCAUGAACCAUGCCCAA
rnacentral:lncRNA from 1 species